rnacentral:tRNA from 1 species
GUUUAAAUAGUGUAAUACUAACACUUAACUUUUUCAUUGUUAAAAUCCCUUCCGGUUUAAAUU